AUUGAACGCUGGCGGCAGGCCUAACACAUGCAAGUCGAGCGGUAGAGAGAAGCUUGCUUCUCUUGAGAGCGGCGGACGGGUGAGUAAUGCCUAGGAAUCUGCCUGGUAGUGGGGGAUAACGUUCGGAAACGGACGCUAAUACCGCAUACGUCCUACGGGAGAAAGCAGGGGACCUUCGGGCCUUGCGCUAUCAGAUGAGCCUAGGUCGGAUUAGCUAGUUGGUGAGGCAAUGGCUCACCAAAGCGACGAUCCGUAACUGGUCUGAGAGGAUGAUCAGUCACACUGGAACUGAGACACGGUCCAGACUCCUACGGGAGGCAGCAGUGGGGAAUGUUGGACAAUGGGCGAAAGCCUGAUCCAGCCAUGCCGCGUGUGUGAAGAAGGUCUUCGGAUUGUAAAGCACUUUAAGUUGGGAGGAAGGGUUGUAGAUUAAUACUCUGCAAUUUUGACGUUACCGACAGAAUAAGCACCGGCUAACUCUGUGCCGGCAGCCGCGGUAAUACAGAGGGUGCAAGCGUUAAUCGGAAUUACUGGGCGUAAAGCGCGCGUAGGUGGUUUGUUAAGUUGGAUGUGAAAUCCCCGGGCUCAACCUGGGAACUGCAUUCAAAACUGACUGACUAGAGUAUGGUAGAGGGUGGGUGGAAUUUCCUGUGUAGCGGCAAAUGUGUAGAUAUAUCAAGGAACCCAGCGGGCAGGGUGAUUCCUCUUGA
rnacentral:rRNA from 1 species